rnacentral:lncRNA from 1 species
UGAGUGUUAAGGGUUUUGCUUUGUGAGCAGAUGUCCUUUUGGCGGAUACGCAGCUGACCUAUCGCUCCAGCAAGCCUUGCUCCAUCUUGGAGCUGCAGCAAGGAGAGAGGCCAUCCUGCUCCCGCACAGCCAGCCUGGCUUUUAUGAGGCCUUUCUCCGGAAAUAAGAAGUAUGGUAAAGCGAGGUGAUCUUCCCCCAUGACUGCUGGUGUGGAUUAUGGAGCUGGCAGCAGCAGGAACGCAUUAAGGAAAGCUCCCAGCAACGGCUUUCCAGAAAGGUCUUCAGAAGCCUCCCCCUGCUGUCUUCAUGCCGGCUGCAUCAUUUUUCAAGGCCUUGUCUCAGUCCUGGCAUGACGUGGAUACAGGAGGCUUUGUGCAGACCUUGUGCCUGUCCGAGAGGUGCUUCUGCUGCAGCCACAGGAAGAAAAAGAUAUGACAGGCCAUCCUGGACCAGAAAAACCUUCCUAAUAAGAAACAUAGCUUCAACUAACCAG